rnacentral:lncRNA from 1 species
UGUGAGUCAUUCUCUUUUUAUCAACUGUUUUACAAUACUCCAAAUCAUUUUCCAAAAGUUAUAAUUACAGUGAUUAAGUUUAUGUAAUCACCAAAUUACAGCCGGUAUGUGGGGUAUUGUGCACAGUAUUGUUAUUAUUGUUUCCUUCACAUUAGGUGGGCGAGCCUAAUUGUGACAUACGUCACUCAUUGGGACAGCCAAUGGUGAUAUGACCACAGUCACAGAGCUGGUCUGUGACAAAUACCUAUUCUUGAAUGUUGGUUGAUAAUAAACAUAUGUAAAAACCCUUAAUACUGUAAAUUAUAACAAAUGUUACUAUACUUUGUCGUUUGUCAUUUUGAUAAAUGAGUUGAAGUAUUGCACUUGGUCAUUCAUUGUGAAAAUUUGAUCUCGGGAAAUUAUCGUAACUACUGUAUUGAGCAUUAACCCGGUUUUUGUGAAAUUCGUUAAGGUUGAUUUAGGUUUUUCACCAAUACGUAUUCCAUUAUGUUAAACCACCAGAAAUACUCCCAACUACACCCUUACAAUCAAAUAAACUAUUAAAUCAUCAGAAGAUCCAGAAUAAUAAAGUGCAUGCUUAAUUAUCGGAAGAAAUAUAAUC